GCAAGUAGGAGAUUUCCAUCUAUGAUUACGGAUUUUAGAGAGGCUUAUG
rnacentral:tRNA from 1 species